rnacentral:rRNA from 1 species
CAGUAGCCGCGGUAAUACGAAGGGGGCUAGCGUUGUUCGGAUUUACUGGGCGUAAAGCGCACGUAGGCGGAUCGAUCAGUCAGGGGUGAAAUCCCAGAGCUCAACUCUGGAACUGCCUUUGAUACUGUCGAUCUGGAGUAUGGAAGAGGUGAGUGGAAUUCCGAGUGUAGAGGUGAGAUUCGUAGAUAUUCGGAGGAACACCAGUGGCGAAGGCGGCUCACUGGUCCAUUACUGACGCUGAGGUGCGAAAGCGUGGGGAGCAAACAGGAUUAGAUACCCGUGUAGUCCCUGUCUCUUAUAC